rnacentral:rRNA from 1 species
AUUGAACGCUGGCGGCAUGCCUUACACAUGCAAGUCGAACGGCAGCACGGGAGCAAUCCUGGUGGCGAGUGGCGAACGGGUGAGUAAAGUAUCGGAACGUGCACAGUCGUGGGGGAUAACGUAGCGAAAGUUACGCUAAUACCGCAUACGAUCUAUGGAUGAAAGCGGGGGAUCGCAAGACCUCGCGCGAUUGGAGCGGCCGAUAUCAGAUUAGGUAGUUGGUGGGGUAAAGGCUCACCAAGCCGACGAUCUGUAGCUGGUCUGAGAGGACGACCAGCCAUACUGGGACUGAGACACGGCCCAGACUCCUACGGGAGGCAGCAGUGGGGAAUUUUGGACAAUGGGCGAAAGCCUGAUCCAGCCAUGCCGCGUGCAGGAUGAAGGCCUUCGGGUUGUAAACUGCUUUUGUACGGAACGAAAAGGUUUGGCCUAAUAAGCUGAGCUCAUGACGGUACCGUAAGAAUAAGCACCGGCUAACUACGUGCCAGCCGCCGCCGUAAUAC